GACGAACGCUGGCGGCGUGCUUAACACAUGCCAGUCGAACGGUGAAGCGCUUUCCUUUUUGGUUGGUGUGGAUGAGUGGCGAACGGGUGAGUAACACGUGAGUAACCUGCCCCCUUCUUCUGGAUAACCGCAUGAAAGUGUGGCUAAUACGGGAUAUUCUGCGCCUGCUGCAUGGUGGGUGUGGGAAAGAUUGUGCCUUUGGGUGUUUUCGGUGGGGGAUGGGCUCGCGGCCUAUCAGCUUGUUGGUGGGGUGAUGGCCUACCAAGGCGGUGACGGGUAGCCGGCCUGAGAGGGUGGACGGUCACACUGGGACUGAGACACGGCCCAGACUCCUACGGGAGGCAGCAGUGGGGAAUAUUGCACAAUGGGCGCAAGCCUGAUGCAGCGACGCCGCGUGAGGGAUGGAGGCCUUCGGGUUGUGAACCUCUUUCGCCAGUGAAGCAGGCCUGCUCCGUGUGGGUGGGUUGACGGUAGCUGGAUAAGAAGCGCCGGCUAACUACGUG
rnacentral:rRNA from 1 species